UGCAGUCAUAGGCUGGGGAAUCACAGAACAUGGCUGUGCCUCAAACUGGAGCUGAAUCCAAAUGAUCCUAUUGAGUAACUCAAACAUCAUGAAGAGAGUUAACCUGCUGGGAAUAUGAUGCUUCAGCAUAAAAUCAGAAGAAAUAAUAAAGCUGAGUUUUUUGUUUGUUUUGGGGUUUUUUUUGGAGUCGGGGGGUGGUUAUUGCUCUUUUAAAAGUGUGAGGAGGAGAGGGAAGCAGCCAAAUCUAACUUGCACUGAUGAACACAGGAAGAUGCAAAAUAAAGAUCUGUGGUGUAUUUUUGCCAAAAUAUGACUCAUUGUUUCUCUUGUCCAAAUUAUAUUCCUGGGAGCAUCUGAUCACCACAGAGCUGCAACUGAUUUUGCCCAGUGGUUAAGACUCAAGGAUGCAUCUUGUUAUCAUGAAGGCAACCAGAAGUUCCCAAAGACAAUUUCUUGUCAGAAUAGCUGCCUUGGACAGGGCAAAAUAUGUUUCAGCUCAGCAGGAGGCAGAGGAGACUGGAAAAACACCUUAGAGAUGCAGACAUUUGGUUUUCUGAGAUGUGUUGCCCUCUUCGUCCUCUGACUUCAAAGAGCGAAAUGUUCAAGGUCCUCCUGUGUGGGGACAUGCUUAUUUGAUAAACAAAGUAAACUCUUCAAAAUCCCCUCUUUUCCUGGUAAUCUGGGUGUUUUCCCUCUCCGGACUGACUGCUUAUCUUGUCUUCCCUGUGCUGCGGAUCAGAAAGACCAAGAUGGGUUUAUCUUAGCCCACAGCAGUGCAGGCUGCCAUCAGCAUGAGUCUGCUGCAGCUCUUCCUGCCAGCCCCGGCUCUUGGUGGUGUUGUCUGGCUCUUCUUUCUGAAACCCUCUCCUCCCAGACCUACCAGGGCAAUUUGGUGCAGAAUCUAGGGCUGCACUGCUGAUUCCUUGCUAUUUUCAAAUAAAUUGCUUUAUUCUCA